AUAUAGAUGUUCCAGACCAUAUAAGUAUUUGGACCGUACGCGUACGGUCCGGACCGUAUACGUAUACUCGUACGGUCCGACCAUGCGCGUACGGUCGGACCGUAUGAGUAUACGCGUAUGGUCCAGAACGAGCUGACCAUACAUGCUAUUGGUUAUUGGUUAUUGGAUCACAUGGGUUAAAUUUAAACAAACAUUUAUCACAAUCUUUAUUCUUAUUUUUACAAAUUGUUAUUAUUACAAUUAGAUGGAUAGAAUGAACAAACGAACAAUUGAAGUUAAAUAUUUGUUUAAUUGUAUAUCUGAAUCCUAUUUUGGCACUCUCGCCCAAGGUGACACUUGCUACGACAAGUAACGUAAUACAUUUACAUGUUUGCAGUUCAUGCAUACUCCUUAUUCUUUUGUAAAGUUGCUAAAUAUUCUAAAACAAUUGUCCUCCCACAUUAUGUUUACUUCCGAAAUCUUCAAUUUCAGUGAUCAUAAUUCAAUUAAUGAUCAUUAAUGUAUUACUGAUCGACAUGCUAAAUACAAGAGAUAAACAGAUUUAAUUAGCCGGUGAAUUUUUUAAAUUGUUAGAAUAUAAAGUGUUUAUCUCAAUUAUAAUUCAAUUUGUAUCUAAUAAACUUGACCUACUUCUUAAUAUUAGUCAGACCGUAUGAGUA
rnacentral:lncRNA from 1 species